GCUGCUGGGGACAGCAAGGAUGACAUCAAGGAUGAACAACCUCUUGCUCCACCUGGUCUCCAGCAGGGUGAAGAUGAUGGGCUUUGAUUCUGGCACUUUCUCCAAAGCCAGGCUCCAAAGGGAAUUUGCAGAUGGGUCCACACACAGGGGGAUGCUCCCAGAUUUGGGCAUUGCACAGCCUGGCUGGGAACCAAAGGUUCCCCCUUUGCUGGGGCGGAUGCAGCUGAUCCUUCAGUCGGCUGCCAGGCUGCUUUUGGCAGGGCUGGGGGCAUGGGCUGGGGUGGGUACGAAAUGGGAGUGGGCUCCUGGCCCUGCCAACAGCCCCCAGCACCCACCGUGCCCCGGGCUGGGGCUGGGCUGGGGCAGCCAGCCCGACACAAACAAACCCCCAUGGUGGGAGCAGAGGUGGGACUGCAGAGCCUGUGCAGGGGCUGCUUUGCUCUGCAGGCAAGGAAGGGCUUGGGCUGCUCCACUGCCUUUGUUUGCUUUGGGAUCACCAUGGGGGCAGUGCAGGGGAAGGGAGAAAGCCUGGGAUUCCCUCACCCAUGGUGGGUUUUUCCCUGGCAUGCAGGGGUUGGGCCUUCCUUAAGCCCCUGACAGAGAUCAGAGUUUUAAAAUUUUUUCUUAUUUCCCCUUUUUGUCUGUAAUCUAUUUUCAAUAAUUUGUUGUUUGUUUUUCUAGAGGAAGCGUUCCAGGUGGGAUCCAGUCUGGAUCAGGAAGUGCUUGGGAGCAGCUGCAGCGUGGAUGGGCCGUGCCCUUGGAGAAGGCUGAGGACAUCGUUUGGGACCAGCUUUUCUUCCAGCGGUGGAUGGCAUGAGCCAGGCUCUGUGGGUGCUGAGGCUGCUCUGGGCUCUGCCAGGGCUCUGCUGGCCUCUGCCCUGGGCACAGCUGGGCUGGCUCUGCCCUCACAUUGCUCUGACAGCUUUGCAUCAGACAAGCCUAUUCCGAGCACAGUGCCUGAGCUUUCUGCUUUGGCAGAAGUGCCACAAAUAGGCUGAACCUGCCAAGUGGGCCGUGUUCCCGAGGCAGUGCAGUCUGGAACUGAUGGAUGGAGAAGUGCCCUUCUGCACUUCCAAACCAGGCCAAAAAGCUGUAAGAGGGAUUUUCUGUCUUUAAGAAACCCUUGACAGUUUCAAUGGGAAUGUGCAGCUCAUUCACAGGGUGAGAAGGAAGGGUAUCUUCUGAAGGGUUUGGGAUUUAGCAGAGUUUAGAUUCCCAGUCCUGCUUGGAGCUGGAAGGGCACAAAGCAAUUUCCUCCUGCUUCAACCACAAUUUAAAAUAUCAAUGU